rnacentral:rRNA from 1 species
UACGAAGGGUGCAAACGUUGCUCGGAAUUAUUGGGCGUAAAGCGCACGUAGGCGGCAUUGCAAGUCGGAUGUGAGAUCCCUCGGCUUAACCAAGGAAGUGCAUCCGAAACUGCAGUGCUUGAGUACUUAAGAGGAUCGCGGAAUUCCCGGUGUAGAGGUGAAAUUCGUAGAUAUCGGGAGGAACACCAGUGGCGAAGGCGGCGAUCUGGGAAGAUACUGACGCUGAGGUGCGAAAGCGUGGGGAGCAAACAGG